CAGCCGCUUCACGGGCUUGUUCUGACAGAGAAGUCGUGUUCCAGGGUGUGUGACCUCAGAUUUCAGCACCAGAAAGACUUGGAGAGGAAGGCCCUGGAAGAGCUGCCUCUGUGAAUCCCCGAAGAAAGGGAAGGGAGAACAAAGUUUACACUGAACAUCUUGACUUCCCAAACAGCAUGUUGAGGCAGUCCCACGGCGGACAGGUUUUGCGGCAGGCCUGGGACUCGCCCGGGACUGCCGCAGCCUGGAGAUUCAUCUAGAAAGAAUAUAACAAGCCUCCUUCUCCCUGGUGCCCAUGUUACUCCCUGUUGCUACUCUUUCCGAGCCUUCAGUUCCCUGGGUGGUACCCUCAAGUGUGAAAGAGGGAGUGCCCCUUGGAAGCUGGGGAACGAUUUAGGCCCAGGAGAAAAUGGAAGCAAAUCCAACAACCGAACAUGCGUUUGGACAUGUAAGGAUUUCAGCGGUUCCUGCAAAGCAAACUUCUCUGGAGGAGCCCGAGAGACCUCUUCUGUACAGAAUAGCCUUACACCCCAUAGGGCAGUCUGUCAGCAAUGCAUUUGAAAGGGGAGCACAUAGACUCCAUGUAAACUGCCCAAUGCUUCCCAGAAGGCUGGCGGCCCCUGCAUCGCUCUGAACUGAAGAGGAGCUGAAGUCACAGAAAGCCAGCCACUACUCGAUUGCCCAAGAAGCAGUCGUCGCACUGGCCCAGCUUCACAGCGGCUCUCGAGUGCUGAGAAAACCCACUGGAAGGGCUUCCUUUCCCUACUCUGCACAUGAGAAUAGCCAUUCCUGUGUCAGUUUUGCUUCUUUCUGGGCUCUCUGAUUAGGAUUUAUUUCCUUAGCUAGAGAAAAUAAAGGGACCUUACAAGGCCUAAUUAGAGCGACUCCUCUCUGAUGUAUUCAAGACACCCUGCUGAAUUGGACUGGCAAGUCCCUGUGUAUUGUUAUUAUUGUUGUUUUAAAGAAGCCAUUUCUGACCAGGGUGGCUGAAGGAGACGCCCUUUGUCGGCCUCUCAUGGUCCUGGCCCUCGCCAAGGGAACUGUUCCUGAAC
rnacentral:lncRNA from 1 species